GACGAACGCUGGCGGCGUGCUUAACACAUGCAAGUCGAACGGAAAGGCCCUGCUUUUGUGGGGUGCUCGAGUGGCGAACGGGUGAGUAACACGUGAGUAACCUGCCCUUGACUUUGGGAUAACUUCAGGAAACUGGGGCUAAUACCGGAUAGGAGCUCCUGCUGCAUGGUGGGGGUUGGAAAGUUUCGGCGGUUGGGGAUGGACUCGCGGUUUAUCAGCUUGUUGGUGGGGUAGUGGCUUACCAAGGCUUUGACGGGUAGCCGGCCUGAGAGGGUGACCGGCCACAUUGGGACUGAGAUAGGGCCCAGACUCCUGGGGGAGGCAGGAGUGGGGAAUAUUGCACAAUGGGCGGAAGCCUGAUGCAGCAACGCCGCGUGCGGGAUGACGGCCUUCGGGUUGUAAACCGCUUUCGCCUGUGACGAAGCGUGGGUGACGGUAAUGGGUAAAGAAGCACCGGCUAACUACGU
rnacentral:rRNA from 1 species